AUUGAACGCUGGCGGCAGGCUUAACACAUGCAAGUCGAACGGGAGGAGGACGGGUGAGUAAUGCUUGGGAAUUUGGCUUAAGGAGGGAGAUAACUCCGGGAAACUGGAGAAGAUACCGCGUAUCCCAGAAGGAGCACCAGUGGGAUUAGGUAGUUGGUGAGGUAAAGGCUCACCAAGCCGACGAUCUCAAGCUGGUCUGAGAGGAUGACCAGCCACGCUGGGACUGAGACACGGCCCAGACUCCUACGGGAGGCAGCAGUGGGGAAUAUUGCGCAAUGGGGGCAACCUGACGCAGCCAUGCCGCGUGAAUGAAGAAGGCCUGCGGGUUGUAAAGUUCUUUCGGUAGCGAGGCGUUAACUACAGAAGAAGCACCGGCUAACUCCGUGCCAGCAGCCGCGGUAAUUC
rnacentral:rRNA from 1 species